GAUGAACGCUGGCGGCGUGCUUAACACAUGCAAGUCGAACGGAAGGACGCGGCGCUUGCGUCUCUGUUGAUAGCCGCGGACGGGAGUGAAACACGAGGAACCCCUCCUUAUCAGACUGAGAUCACUACGAGAAACCGGAGCUAAUACGAUAUAAUCUUUUGCACCGCGUGGGGCGAAAGUGAAAGCCGGUCGUGCUGUCUCUUCUCGAUGCUUCUGCGCUUGAUUAGCUAGUUGGUAAGUUAAAGGCUUACCAAGGCUACGCUGCAUAACCGACGUGAGAGGGUGAUCGGCGACACUGGAACUGAGACACGGUCCAGACUCCUGCGGGAGGCAGCAGUAGCGAAUCGUCCGCAAUGGGCGAAAGCCUGACGGAGCAACGCCGCGUGAGUGAUGAAGGUCCUCGGAUCGUAAAACUCUGUUAUUAGGUGUGAACAGAUGUGUAAGUAACCGUGGACAUAUUGACGGUACCGGAUCAGAAAGCCCCGGCUAACUACGUG
rnacentral:rRNA from 1 species